rnacentral:rRNA from 1 species
AACGCGAAGAACCUUACCUGGAUUUGACAUCCUUUGAUACCCCUAGAGAUAGGGCAUUCGUAGCAAUACGACAAAGAGACAGGUGCUGCAUGGCUGUCGUCAGCUCGUGUGGUGACAUGUUGGGUUAAGUCCCGCAACGAGCGCAACCCCUGUCUUUAGUUGCCAGCAUUCAGUUGGGCACUCUAAAGAGACUGCCGUGGUGAACACGGAGGAAGGUGGGGAUGACGUCAAGUCCUCAUGGCCUUUAUAUCCAGGGCGACACACGUGAUACAAUGGACGGUACAAAGGGACGCCAAGAAGCGAUUCGGAGCUAAUCUCAAAAAGCCGUUCUCAGUUCGGAUUGGAGUCUGCAACUCGACUCCAUGAAGUUGGAAUCGCUAGUAAUCGCGGAUCAGCACGCCGCGGUGAAUACGUUCCCGGGCCUUGUACACACCGAGACGAC